AUUGGAUGAGCCCGCGGCCUAUCAGCUUGUUGGCGAGGUAGUGACUCACCAAGGCGACGACGGGUAGCCGGCCUGAGAGGGCGACCGGCCACACUGGGACUGAGACACGGCCCAGACUCCUACGGGAGGCAGCAGUGGGGAAUAUUGCGCAAUGGGCGAAAGCCUGACGCAGCGACGCAGCGUGAGGGACGAAGGCCUUCGGGUUGUAAACCGCUUUUACCAGGGACGAUAAUGACGGUACCUGAUGAAUAAGUCACGGCUAACUACGUGCCAGCAGCCGCGGCCGAAU
rnacentral:rRNA from 1 species